rnacentral:tRNA from 1 species
GGAGCGUUAGAAUAGUUGGUUAAUUCGCCACCCUGUCACGGUGGAGAUCACGGGUUCAAGUCCCGUACGCUUCGCAA